rnacentral:rRNA from 1 species
GACGAACGCUGGCGGCGUGGAUUAGGCAUGCAAGUCGAACGGUAGGAUACCUUCGGGUAUCUGAGAGUGGCGAACGGGUGAGUAACACGUAGGUGAUCUACCCUCAAGAUUGGGACAACCCAGGGAAACUUGGGCUAAUACCGGAUGAAAGCAGCAGUGAUGUUGUUUGAAAGGUGGCGUAAGCUGCCGUUUGGGGAUGAGCCUGCGCUCUAUUAGUUAGUUGGCGGGGUAAAGGCCCACCAAGGCGAUGAUAGAUAGGCGGCCUUAACGGGUGGUCGCCCACACUGGGAUUGAGAUACGGCCCAGACUCCUACGGGAGGCAGCAGUCGAGAAUAGUCUACAAUGGCCGAAAGGCUGAUAGUGCGACGCCGCGUGAACGAAGAAGCCCUUCGGGGUGUAAAGUUCUUUUAUAUGUGAGCAGUGCUUUCUACGUGAACAGCAUGGGGAGAGAGAUAUUAGCAUAUGAAUAAGCAACGGCUAACUCCGUGCCAGCAGCCG